rnacentral:rRNA from 1 species
AACUGUUGGAAGCUUGCUCCUUCAGUUAGCGGCGGACGGGUGAGUAACACGUGGGCAACCUGCCCUUCAGAUGGGGAUAACUCCGGGAAACCGGGGCUAAUACCGAAUAAUCCAUUCUCUCGCAUGAGGAGAAUGUUGAAAGACGGUUUCGGCUGUCACUGAAGGGAUUGGCCCGCGGCGCAUUAGCUAGUUGGUGGGGUAAUGGCUCACCAAGGCGACGAUGCGUACCGACCUUAGAAGGUGAUCGGCCACACUGGGACUUGAACACGGCCCAG